rnacentral:rRNA from 1 species
AGCUCUGAUAGCGUAUAUUAAAGUUGUUGCAAGUAAAAAGCUUGUAGUUGAACUUGUGGCCUGGAUGGCUUGGUCUGACGCUUUUGCAUAAGUACCUGAGCCAUCCAACCAUCCUUGGGUGGAAUCUGGGUGGCAUUAAGUUGUCAUGUAGGGGAUGCCCAUCUUUUACUGUGAAAAAACUAGAGUGUUCAAAGCAGGCUUAUGCCUUUGAAUAUAUUAGCAUGAAAUAAUGAUAUAGGACUUUGGUACUAUUUUGUUAUUUUGUGCACUAAAGUAAUGAUUAAUAGGGACAGUUGGGGAUAGUAGUAUUUUUAGGUCAGAGGUGAAAUUCUUGGAUUCUUUAAAGACUAACUACUGCAAAAGUAUUUAUCAAGGAUGUUUUCA